rnacentral:misc_RNA from 1 species
CAAUUUCACCCUCUACGAACUUCUUUCGAGAAAAUGCAAUCCGAAGACUCGAAAUCCCCUGAAUUCCCUAUCCCUUCGUCUAAUUUCCACACUCCGACCAACUUCCCGCCACCGACUCAACGGCCAACUCCGGCGGCCAGCAAUCUGGCCAACAACCCUUCUAGUCAGUCCAUAAUCCUCUCUCCGGCCCCUCAGCCCCAAAGAG